UGAAAACAAAAUAUUUUUGUGCAAAUUCAAGAACGCAGCAACAGUUGUAUCAAUCAAUUAUAGAAACGACAAAUAUGAAAUUUAUCUUUUUUUGCCAGAUAUAUCUCAUAUAUUUUUCGGGUGUCUUUUUAUAUGAGAAAGAUGGAACUGAAAAGCCAGAUCAAGGAGAACAACCAUUGGAACAUAUGAUAAAAAAUAUUUCCCAACCAAAUACGAGAGUGUCAUCACUACUGAUUGGUGUUCGUAUGAACAAACCAUCGAGAGAAUAACAACAGGAGUACCUCAAGAUAAAUUAUUUCAAUACACACAUUCUAUUCCGAAAAUAUGUAUUUCUUUGGUGGAUUUAUAGGCGCAAAUAUUUGUGCAAAUUACACAUUAUUGAAAUAAUAUUUUGAACUGGUUCAAGUAUAUAGUUGGAUUGAUAACAGUUGAUUUCAUAAAUUCAUUAGUUUCAUUAACUAUUUAUUGAGGGAAAUGAGUCUAGUUGAGAAGAUAGCAAUAUAUACAUCACACCAAAUACUCUUAUUUCACAUAGAAAAUCAAUGGACAAGAAAUCUAAAUAUAGGAUAAAGAAAUUAA